rnacentral:rRNA from 1 species
CGAACGCUGGCGGCAUGCCUAACACAUGCAAGUCGAACGAGACCUUCGGGUCUAGUGGCGCACGGGUGCGUAACGCGUGGGAAUCUGCCCUUGGGUUCGGAAUAACAGUUAGAAAUGACUGCUAAUACCGGAUGAUGUCUUCGGACCAAAGAUUUAUCGCCCAGGGAUGAGCCCGCGUAGGAUUAGGUAGUUGGUGGGGUAAAGGCCUACCAAGCCGACGAUCCUUAGCUGGUCUGAGAGGAUGAUCAGCCACACUGGGACUGAGACACGGCCCAGACUCCUACGGGAGGCAGCAGUGGGGAAUAUUGGACAAUGGGCGAAAGCCUGAUCCAGCAAUGCCGCGUGAGUGAUGAAGGCCUUAGGGUUGUAAAGCUCUUUUACCCGGGAUGAUAAUGACAGUACCGGGAGAAUAAGCUCCGGCUAACUCCGU